ACUUGUACAGACUUUCUGGCUGGAAUUUCAAAACUGGCUUCAUUCAAACAUAUAUCAAUGCAGCCUUUGACUGUGAUCUCAAUUAAGGUUGGAGUAUUGUUGAAGGAAAAGAUCCUAGACUUUUUGAUAAAUAAUUUCAUUACUUUGUGCAAAUACUAUAUUCACAGAUGUAAGUAUUUAAAGGUUAAACCUCACUUCAGCGGAUGGAAGAAUGAACUAAAGAUAUUUACAAAGUCUCUUCAUUACAUGAUGGACAGGAACGCCCAGAAACUCUUAUAUGCUUUUAACUUGUUUUUGCUGUUAGAAUAAGACCCUCAACCUUCUUUUUCUUUCCCUUUUUUAUUCUGUUUUAUCUUAUUGUGUGAUUAUUGUUUGUUGUUUUUUUUCUCGCUCUCUCAUCUUUUUUCUUUCUUUUUGGCUGUAUCAACACGAAUAAUAUGUGUUCAGUUGUUGAAAUAGGCUGUAAAGGUUUGUAAUUGUAUUUGGUACCUUAAUAUUAAAAAAAAAAACAAAAAACUUGCUUUUCUGAAAUGAGACAGCCUCGUUGACGUAUGCAGCCUUCUAAAUGAGACACAGCUAUAAUCUACUCUAAAUAAUGGAUUUUAGAAUAUUGGCCUAAAAAUCGAAUAUGACAUUUUGAUUUUUUAACUAAGCUGUGACCCGGAAGUUCACGCGCCGGGACGAAUGGAAACGGAAGAGUGCGGAUGCCAAAUUAAGUCGCGAAACUUCCUUCAAGCAAGUCAUGGAUACAUACACGCUUUUCAAGGGUCCUCAGAGGGUAACUUUAAAGGACGAAGACAUGACAACUGAUAGGAUUGGUCGUAUAUUUCAGAGGACACUACGAAGUUCACGGAGAUUCUGCCGAGGUGCAGUCACCGGACUCAAGUGUUCGACCCACUGCUGGAUCUGGGUCUGUGCGCUUUGCAUUUCAGCGACCCAGUGCGGCCGCUGGUUUUGCUUCGCAGGCAUCUUUGUCUGCGCCACGGGCCAGUAUGUCAAAACCUUUUCAACGGUGAGUUCAACAAACGUUUUAACGAAAAAUUGAAGACCUUAUCAAAUGGCAUAUGUUAUCAGUUCACUGUCAGUUCUCUAAUAAUAGCAAGGUUUUUUUUUUUUUUUAACAACUUGUAUGUCUGCCUGAAUUAUUGAAGCCAGAAAUAUACUGUGACUACACUGUAUGUUGGCAUUGCAUUCUCCCUAGAUCUAGGCUAUAGGAAGAUGGGGUGGUCUUUGGAUAUUUAACUAAACACAUUUUCAUUUCAAGGAAUGUUUUUCUUGCUGAUCUGGUUGGUGGAAAAUGGACACCCCAGAAGACUGUGGCGAUCCGUUUUCAUGAACAUGAGGCAUCAGUUCCUGGUAUCUUGGCAAAAGUCCAAGAUGCUAUUGGAUCAGAAGAUGGUAUGAUACUGACUGAUGGCCAGGGGAAUGAAAUUCUCGAUACAGAGGGAACAAAAGGUAACUGCAAAAGAUGAGAUUGACUACAAGCUGCUUUAAAAAAAUCUAAGAAAAACACAAUGAAAACACCAGUAAGGUCAGAGAAAUGUAAUACCAGUUGAUUAAAAAAAAAAGUUCUAUACACCUAAACAAUAUAAAUAUGAUUUUAAUCAUAUAAAAACAAUAUAAAUAUGAUAUAAUUAUCAGGUUCUAAUCCCAAGAACUGCCAGAGGUUGCACAGGCCAUCAGAGGCUUAUCUGAGCUGACGUUGGCACACAGACGUUUUAUUACAUUCACGGACGAAGAACGUGCAGCUAUUAAAAAUGCAUUUGCUUGCAUAAUUUGCAAAGGUUUGUUAACAAGAUAAUUUAGUCUCUAUAAGAUUUGUUGAUAGCCAGGAUAGUAUUUUGUGAAUUAAACUGUAAUACUUUCCUCUCUUCUCUUUGGAUUAAGAUCCCAGAAAUAUUAUGAAAAAACUAACAAGUAAUUUUAUUUAUUUUAAAUUUCUAGGGCCCAUGAAUGAUCCUGUUUUUGCAGUUUGCUGUCAGAGUCUCAUUGCAUGCAAAGUGUGCUUUGACCAGUGGCAGCGAAAUGCCAACACCUGUGUGAAAUGCAGAGGAGACAACUCAAGGGAAAACACCUACAGAGUCACAGGAAUUGAUGGUGCAUUGUCUGCUUUUGGUGAUCUUAUCAAAGAUUAAAUACAGUGGGAAUAAAAGCUGUAUACCUGUUACA
ensembl:lncRNA